rnacentral:rRNA from 1 species
UACGUAGGGUGCGAGCGUUGUCCGGAAUUACUGGGCGUAAAGAGCUCGUAGGCGGUUUUGUCGCGUCGUCCGUGAAAAACUUUGGGGGCUCAACCCCCAAGCUUGCGGGCGAUACGGGGCAGACUUGAGUACUGCAGGGGGGAGACUGGAAAUUCCUGGUGUAGCGGUGAAAAUGCGCAGAUAUCAGGAGGAACACCGGUGGCGAAGGCGGGGUCUCUGGGGCAGUAACUGACGCUGAGGAGCGAAAAGCGUGGGGUAGCAAAACAGG